rnacentral:rRNA from 1 species
AAAAGCUUUAUUUUAGUAAAAGAGUUAAGGUUAUUAAUAGUAAGAGUUUAGCUGGGGUAGUUUUUUUAAAGGAUCUGAGAGUAGAGUAGACACUAAAAGUGUAAUUAGGUCCUUUAUAUAAGGAUAUGUUGAAGAAGUUAC